GACGAACGCUGGCGGCGUGCUUAACACAUGCAAGUCGAACGGUGAAGCUCCAGCUUGCUGGAGUGGAUCAGUGGCGAAAGGGUGAGUAACACGGGAGCAACCUGCCCCUGACUCUGGAAUAAGCGCGGGAAACGGCGUCUAAUACUGGAUACGAGAAGGGUCCGCAUGGGCACUUUCUGGAAAGUUUUUCGGUGGGGGAUGGGCUCGCGGCCUAUCAGCUUGUUGGUGAGGUAAUGGCUCACCAAGGCGACGACGGGUAGCCGGCCUGAGAGGGCGACCGGCCACACUGGGACUGAGACACGGCCCAGACUCCUACGGGAGGCAGCAGUGGGGAAUAUUGCCCAAUGGGCGAAAGCCUGAUGCAGCGACGCCGCGUGAGGGAUGACGGCCUUCGGGUUGUAAACCUCUUUCAGCAGGGAAGAAGCGAAAGUGACGGUACCUGCAGAAGAAGCACCGGCUAACUACGUG
rnacentral:rRNA from 1 species